rnacentral:rRNA from 1 species
UACGUAGGGAGCAAGCGUUGUCCGGAAUCAUUGGGCGUAAAGCGCGCGUAGGUGGCCAUGUAAGUCCGCUGUGAAAGUCAAAGGCUCAACCUUUGAAAGCCGGUGGAUACUGCAUGGCUAGAGUACGGAAGAGGCGAGUGGAAUUCCUGGUGUAGCGGGUGGAAUGCGCAGAUAUCAGGAGGAACACCAGUAGGCGAAGG